CACGUAGGGGACGAGCGUUGUCCGGAUUCAUUGGGCGUAAAGCGCGCGUAGGCGGCUCGGAAAGUCGGGCGUGAAAUGCCGGGGCUCAACCCCGGGACUGCGUCCGAUACUUCCGAGCUGGAGGUAGGUAGGGGAGAUCGGAAUUCCAGGUGUAGCAGUGAAAUGCUUAGAUAUCGUCAAGAACACCGAUAGCGAAGGCAGCUUACUAGGCUGUAACUGACGCUGAGGCACGAAAAGUGUGGGGAUCAAACAGG
rnacentral:rRNA from 1 species